AUGGGUGGGGUAGGAUUUUUUUAAGCUUGUAGAGUAGCCCUUCAUGCCAUACUUUAUCGAAUGCCUGUUGGAUGUCUAGGAAUACGGCUGAGCAGUAUUUUUCCUUUUCAAGGGUUUGGCUGAUCAUGUGGGUUAUGCGUUUCCCAGAUCCAAACUUAUACACGAGAAACAGUUCUUUAACUGACACGCGAUCAGCUUCGAAACUAAAAUAUUUGUUACUUUUUUCGCACAAAGAUUUUCGGAGACUGAUCUUUGCAGAAAGUUCGACGCAGCCACGACACACGUGAAACUAUUCCAAUGACAUACAGUAGGCAAACGUUUAAAACGCGAACGCUAUCAGCACUUCUCGUGAUUUGCACAGGCG
rnacentral:misc_RNA from 1 species